rnacentral:rRNA from 1 species
GUGGCAGACGGGUGAGUAACAUGUGGGAAUCUGCCUUGUGGUUCAGGACAACAUUGGGAAACCGAUGCUAAUACUGGAUAAGCCCUUACGGGGAAAGUUUUAAUGCCAUAAGAUGAGCCCGCAUUUGAUUAGUUAGUUGGUGAGGUAAUGGCUCACCAAGACAAUGAUCAAUAGCUGAUCUGAGAGGAUGAUCAGCCACACUGGGACUGAGACACGGCCCAGACUCCUACGGGAGGCAGCAGUGGGGAAUCUUGCACAAUGGAGGAAACUCUGAUGCAGCGAUGCCGCGUGAGUGAAGAAGGCCUUUGGGUUGUAAAGCUCUUUUGUAGGGGAAGAUAAUGACUGUACCCUAAGAAUAAGGUCCGGCUAACUUCGUGCCAGCAGCCGCGGUAAUACGAAGGGACCUAGCGUAGUUCGGAAUUACUGGGCGUAAAGCGCGCGUAGGCCGUUGAGUUAGUUAAUUGUGAAAUCCCAAAGCUUAACUUUGGAACUGCAAUUAAAACUGCUCGACUAGAGUUUGAUAGAGGAAAGCGGAAUACAUAGUGUAGAGGUGAAAUUCGUAGAUAUUAUGUAGAACACCAGUUGCGAAGGCGGCUUUCUGGAUCAACACUGACGCUGAGGCGCGAAAGUAUGGGUAGCAAAGAGGAUUAGAUACCCUCGUAGUCCAUACCAUAAACGAUGAUUGCUAGAUGUUGGAAAUUUAUUUUCAGUAUCGCAGCUAACGCAUUAAGCAAUCCGCCUGGGGGAGUACGACCGCAAGGUUAAAACUC